CUCACGCACGCCCCGCGCGCUGUGUCACUCUCGCACGCCCUCGAGAGCUCGCGAGCGCAUUGCGCGGCGGAGCACGAGCAUCUCUGGGUUGUUGCACAACAUGGGUUUUCGACAGUGUGAAGUCUGCAAAGAAGCACAAUCUAAAUACAAGUGUCCUUCCUGCCUCGCACCUUAAAAUACUUGUUUUGCAUUACUUGCGCGUACUCCUAGCAUGAUGAUAUAUUUGCUUUCUACCAUGCAGUUGUUCUGUGGCAUGCUUUAGGAAGCACAAAGAAAAUCCUUGCCAAAAAUCCUCCUCUCCAUUGGAAUCAGUAGCUGAGGUGCUUCCGGAAAGAUCAUAUCAAGUUGAGGAGUCAAGUUGGGUUCUUAGUAAAGAACAACUGGAGUCCAUUGUAGAGUCGAAGGAAAUUCGAGACUCUUUACAGAAUAGAGAGCUGCAGAACUUAAUCAAGAGCAUUAGUUCUUCAAAAAAAUCCUGAAGAUGAACUUGAUGAAGCAAUGAAAGGACAAAAUUUUCGCGAUUUCACUGAAAAGAUUCUAUCCAUUGUCAGCCCCCAAGAACAAGAUCUUUAACUGAUGAAAGCUUAUUUAGGAUUUGUUAUCAGAGUAUCAAGCAUCGAUCACUAGAUGAACACAGAUAUGGCACUGAAACAUCUGCCAAAGAGAAUGAUCCAAUGGACAUGAGUUUUUAUGCACUAACUCUGAAUUUCCUUGAGAGCUCUUUAUAAACAAUCAGCAUUUGUUUGGCUGCUGUUUCUGUUAAAGAUCUGGCUAUUUUGAUUUGCUUCAAUUGAGCCUCUAAUUUUGCAGGGAUACAUUGGAAAUGUUCCCAACCCUUUUUUUUUUUAUUAUUUUGUAAAAAAAAAACAUUGUUAAAAAUAAAUUAGCACUGUGUUACUUGUGUUGUUUA